CGGGGCAGCAAUGCCCAGUGGCGCACGGGUGCGUAACGCGUAUGCAACCUGCCACUCACAGGGGGAUAGCCCACCGAAAGGUGGAUUAAUACCGCAUAAGAUAGUAGUGGGACCUCCUACAGCUAUUAAAGAUUUAUCGGUGAGAGAUGGGCAUGCGUGCCAUUAGCUAGUUGGCAGUGUAACGGACUACCAAGGCGACGAUGGCUAGGGGUUCUGAGAGGAAGAUCCCCCACACUGGUACUGAGAUACGGACCAGACUCCUACGGGAGGCAGCAGUAGGGAAUAUUGGGCAAUGGGCGCAAGCCUGACCCAGCCAUGCCGCGUGCAGGAAGAAGGCCUUCUGGGUUGUAAACUGCUUUUGACAGGGAAGAAAAGCAAGUACGUGUACUUGAAUCGACGGUACCUGUAGAAUAAGCACCGGCUAACUCCGUGCCAGCAGCCGCGGUAAUACGGAGGGUGCAAGCGUUGUCCGGAUUUAUUGGGUUUAAAGGGUGCGUAGGCGGCCCUGUAAGUCAGUAUUAAAAGACGGUAGCUUAACUAUCGGGCUGGUAUUGAUACUGCAGGGCUUGAGUUGAGACGAGGUAGGCGGAAUUGAUAAUGUAGCGGUGAAAUGCAUAGAUAUUAUCAGGAACUCCGAUUGCGAAGGCAGCUUACUAGGCUCAAACUGACGCUGAGGCACGAAAGUGCGGGGAGCAAACAGGAUUAGAUACCCUGGUAGUCCGCACAGUAAACGAUGAUUACUCGAUGUUGGCCGGCAUAGGUCAGCGUCUUA
rnacentral:rRNA from 1 species